CGCAUACACAUGCAAGUCGUACGAUGAUACCCCACUUGUGGGGGGAUUAGUGGCGAACGGGUGAGUAACACGUGAGUAACCUGCCCUUGACUCUGGGAUAAGCCUGGGAAACCGGGUCUAAUACUGGAUACGACCUUCUGGCGCAUGCCAUGUUGGUGGAAAGCUUUUGUGGUUUUGGAUGGACUCGCGGCCUAUCAGCUUGUUGGUGGGGUAAUGGCCUACCAAGGCGACGACGGGUAGCCGGCCUGAGAGGGUGACCGGCCACACUGGGACUGAGACACGGCCCAGACUCCUACGGGAGGCAGCAGUGGGGAAUAUUGCACAAUGGGCGCAAGCCUGAUGCAGCGACGCCGCGUGAGGGAUGAAGGCCUUCGGGUUGUAAACCUCUUUCAGUAGGGAAGAAGCCGGCCUUUGGGUUGGUGACGGUACCUGCAGAAGAAGCGCCGGCUAACUACGUGCCAGCAGCCGCGGUAAUACGUAGGGCGCAAGCGUUAUCCGGAAUUAUUGGGCGUAAAGAGCUCGUAGGCGGUUUGUCGCGUCUGCCGUGAAAGUCCGGGGCUUAACCCCGGAUCUGCGGUGGGUACGGGCAGACUAGAGUGCAGUAGGGGAGACUGGAAUUCCUGGUGUAGCGGUGAAAUGCGCAGAUAUCAGGAGGAACACCGAUGGCGAAGGCAGGUCUCUGGGCUGUAACUGACGCUGAGGAGCGAAAGCAUGGGGAGCGAACAGGAUUAGAUACCCUGGUAGUCCAUGCCGUAAACGUUGGGCACUAGGUGUGGGGGACAUUCCACGUUUUCCGCGCCGUAGCUAACGCAUUAAGUGCCCCGCCUGGGGAGUACGGCCGCAAGGCUAAAACUCAAAGGAAUUGACGGGGGCCCGCACAAGCGGCGGAGCAUGCGGAUUAAUUCGAUGCAACGCGAAGAACCUUACCAAGGCUUGACAUGAACCGGAAUGAUGCAGAGAUGUGUCAGCCACUUGUGGGCCGGUUUACAGGUGGUGCAUGGGUUGUCGUCAGCUCGUGUCGUGAGAUGUUGGGU
rnacentral:rRNA from 2 species